AUGAUCAUGUUUCACACCACACACGCUACUAACGUUAUUAAUUGGCGCAUUUAACGAUUAAUAACCUUUCAUGUCGUUAAACAGAGCCACUCCACAGACAAAAAUAAGGUUUUAAUUUCCUGCAACACCAACUUUGUGCAAAACCGUUUGCUUAAACUCACAAACUUCCACAAUACAUCCAAUAUAAAUGUGUUAAUUAUUUUACGUUUUUAUAUAGCUUCAAAAGUCUCAUCCGUCCUGUCGUAUCUUCCGUGUUUUGGUCAAGCGUGGUCCUCCUGCAGUUUAUAUGUGUAAUAAAAACUUUAUCAAUUAUUAAAAACGGUCAUCUGAUUGUCAAACAGCACUAAUGACUCUUUCUGCUGAUAGUUACGCCGCUAGAUGACAACAAAUAACCGUAUUUAUGGCAGUCGAUCAUUCAUUCAACCGAUUCGUUCAAACCGCCGAACGAGUCAUUGAAUCAUUCGUUGAACCGUUUUGUUCAAAAACGAAGAAUCAUUGAAGAUUCAGGAACGAGUUCAGGUGCUGCUGUGUCUUUGUUUGGAAAGCAGACAAAGUAUCUGGCAAUAUUGUGUCUGAAAUGUAACUUACUGCUAAUUUGUCUCAUUCAGAAGAUUGUCCUAAACUCGCGCCAUUGGCUGAACCAGACUUUGACAGCAAACACGCUGCUUUGCCGUGGAAAUUGGAGAAAUGUUUAGAAAUACAGA